rnacentral:rRNA from 1 species
UGCCAGCAGCCGCGGUAAUACAUUAGUCCCAAGCGUUACCCGGAAUUAUUGGGUGUAAAGGGUUCGUAGGCGGACAAGCAAGUUAGAUAUUAAAGACCGGAGCUCAACUCCGUGUUAGUGUUUAAAACUACUUGUCUAGAAUUAGGGAGAGGUUAGCGGAAUUCUGAGUGUAGGGGUGCAAUCCGUAGAUACUCAGAGGAACACCAAAAGCGAAGGCAGCUAACUGGAACUAUAUUGACGCUGAGGAACGAAAGCGUGGGUAGCGAAAAGGAUUAGAUA